AUGCAAGUCGAACGUGAAAACGGGGCAACCCGCAAGUAGAGUGGCGGACGGGUGAGUAAUACAUCGGAACGUGUCCAGUAAUGGGGGAUAACCUAGCGAAAGUUAGGCUAAUACCGCAUACGAUCUGCGGAUGAAAGCGGGGGAUGCAGCACUAAAAGCUUUUGGCAGAGUACAGUCAAAGGCAAUCCAAGAGUUUUUGGUGCUGCACCUCGCGUUAUUGGAGCGGCUGAUGUCUGAUUAGCUAGUUGGUGAGGUAAUGGCUUACCAAGGCGACGAUCAGUAGCUGGUCUGAGAGGAUGAUCAGCCUCACUGGGACUGAGACACGGCCCAGACUCCUACGGGAGGCAGCAGUGGGGAAUAUUGGACAAUGGGCGCAAGCCUGAUCCAGCCAUGCCGCGUGGGUGAUGAAGGCCCUAGGGUUGUAAAGCCCUUUCGGCGGGGAAGAUAAUGACGGUACCCGCAUAAGAAGCCCCGGGCUACUUCGUG
rnacentral:rRNA from 1 species